rnacentral:rRNA from 1 species
GUGGGGAAUAUUGGACAAUGGGCGAAAGCCUGAUCCAGCCAUGCCGCGUGUGUGAAGAAGGUCUUCGGAUUGUAAAGCACUUUAAGUUGGGAGGAAGGGCAGUAAGUUAAUACCUUGCUGUUUUGACGUUACCAACAGAAUAAGCACCGGCUAACUUCGUGCCAGCAGCCGCGGUAAUACGAAGGGUGCAAGCGUUAAUCGGAAUUACUGGGCGUAAAGCGCGCGUAGGUGGUUCAGCAAGUUGGAGGUGAAAUCCCCGGGCUCAACCUGGGAACUGCCUCCAAAACUACUGAGCUAGAGUACGGUAGAGGGUAGUGGAAUUUCCUGUGUAGCGGUGAAAUGCGUAGAUAUAGGAAGGAACACCAGUGGCGAAGGCGACCACCUGGACUGAUACUGACGCUGAGGCGCGAAAGCGUGGGGAGCAAACAGGAUUAGAAACCCGAGUAGUCC